GAUGAACGCCGGCGGCGUGCUUAACACAUGCAAGUCGAACGAAGCGCUUGGAUGGAAUUCUUCGGAAGGAAGCUCAAGUGACUGAGUGGCGGACGGGUGAGUAACGCGUGGGUAACCUGCCUCAUACAGGGGGAUAACAGUUAGAAAUGACUGCUAAUACCGCAUAAGCACACGUGAUCGCAUGAUCGAGUGUGAAAAACUCCGGUGGUAUGAGAUGGACCCGCGUCUGAUUAGCUAGUUGGUGGGGUAACGGCCCACCAAGGCGACGAUCAGUAGCCGGCCUGAGAGGGUGAACGGCCACAUUGGGACUGAGACACGGCCCAAACUCCUACGGGAGGCAGCAGUGGGGAAUAUUGCACAAUGGGGGAAACCCUGAUGCAGCGACGCCGCGUGAAGGAUGAAGUAUUUCGGUAUGUAAACUUCUAUCAGCAGGGAAGAAAAUGACGGUACCUGACUAAGAAGCCCCGGCUAACUACGUGCCAGCAGCCGCGGUAAUACGUAGGGGGCAAGCGUUAUCCGGAUUUACUGGGUGUAAAGGGAGCGUAGACGGCAGUGCAAGUCUGAAGUGAAAGCCCGGGGCUCAACCCCGGGACUGCUUUGGAAACUGUGCAGCUAGAGUGUCGGAGAGGCAAGCGGAAUUCCUAGUGUAGCGGUGAAAUGCGUAGAUAUUAGGAGGAACACCAGUGGCGAAGGCGGCUUGCUGGACGAUGACUGACGUUGAGGCUCGAAAGCGUGGGGAGCAAACAGGAUUA
rnacentral:rRNA from 1 species